rnacentral:rRNA from 1 species
AUUGAACGCUGGCGGCAGGCCUAACACAUGCAAGUCGAGCGGAGCGGCGGACGGGUGAGUAAUGCCUAGGAACCUGUCUGGUAGUGGGGGAUAACGUCCGGAAACGGGCGCUAAUACAGCAUACUAUCAGAUGAGCCCAGGGCGGAUUAGCUAGUUGGUGGGGUAAAGGCCUACCAAGGCGACGUACCGUAACUGGUCUGAGAGGAGGAUCAGUCACACUGGAACUGAGACACGGGCAAGCCUCCUACGGGAGGCAGCAGUGUGGAAUAUUGGACAAUGGGCGAAAGCCUGAUCCAGCCAUGCCACGUGUGUGAAGAAGGUCUUCGGAUUGUAGAGCACUUUAAGUUGGGAGGCGUUACCAACAGAAUAAGCACCGGCUAACUUCGUGCCAGCAGCCGCGGUAAUUC